rnacentral:rRNA from 1 species
CGCGGUGCAUUAGUUAGUUGGUGAGGUAAAGGCUCACCAAGACCGUGAUGCAUAGCCGACCUGAGAGGGUAAUCGGCCACACUGGGACUGAGACACGGCCCAGACUCCUACGGGAGGCAGCAGUAGGGAAUCUUCCACAAUGGACGAAAGUCUGAUGGAGCAACGCCGCGUGAGUGAAGAAGGUUUUCGGAUCGUAAAACUCUGUUGUUGGAGAAGAAUGUAUCUGAUAGUAACUGAUCAGGUAGUGACGGUAUCCAACCAGAAAGCCACGGCUAACUACGUGCCAGCAGCCGCGGUAAUACGUAGGUGGCAAGCGUUGUCCGGAUUUAUUGGGCGUAAAGCGAGCGCAGGCGGUUUCUUAAGUCUGAUGUGAAAGCCUUCGGCUCAACCGAAGAAGUGCAUCGGAAACUGGGAAACUUGAGUGCAGAAGAGGACAGUGGAACUCCAUGUGUAGCGGUGAAAUGCGUAGAUAUAUGGAAGAACACCAGUGGCGAAGGCGGCUGUCUGGUCUGUAACUGACGCUGAGGCUCGAAAGCAUGGGUAGCAAACAGGAUUAGAUACCCUGGUAGUCCAUGCCGUAAACGAUGAGUGCUAGGUGUUGGAGGGUUUCCGCUCUUCAGUGCCGCAGCUAACGCAUUAAGCACUCCGCCUGGAGAGUACGACCGCAAGGUUGAAACUCAGAGGAAUUGACGGGCGCCCGCACAAGCGGUGGAGCAUGUGGUUUAAUUCGAAGCAACGCGAAGAACCUUACCAGGUCUUGACAUCCUUUGACCACUCUAGAGAUAGAGCUUUCCCUUCGGGGACAAAGUGACAGGUGGUGCAUGGUUGUCGUCAGCUCGUGUCGUGAGAUGUUGGGUUAAGUCCCGCAACGAGCGCACCCUUAUUACUAGUUGCCAGCAUUAGUUGGGCACUCUAGUGAGACUGCCGGUGACAACCGGAGGAAGGUGGGGACGACGUCAAUCAUCAUGCCCCUUAUGACCGGGCU